GCUUUAGCGGUAUAAUGGUCAGCACACUCGACGCGUAUUCGAGAAGUCCUAGGUUCGAGUCCCAGCGAGAGCA
rnacentral:tRNA from 1 species